AGGGGCCAUGUCCCUGAGCAGGAGGGAAGUGUUCAUAGGUAAAGUACUGAAAAGACUCUAUGCUGAAACUUCAUCAUCUUCUCUUGUGCAUACUUUGAGUGGAAAAGAGGAGGUUGUUCUUGGAAAUCUGGGCUCAGAAUCCAAUGUUCAGACUUCAGCAGAUGCUAGCACAUCAACUGAUACAUCCUGCAAAUCAGUUCAAGGUAGUGACAAUACAGUUGUGCCUCCAAAGAGAAUGUACACAGUGAAUCUUCCUCCAGAGGGUUACAUUGCAGAUACUCCAGAUGCUGCUAGAAUUUCAGCUUCUGAAACCUCAGAGAGUAGUGCUGACUCAACAGAGGAGGAAUAUCAAGGACAAACCAAGAGAAAGCGCAUUCGAAGGAAGAAACAAAAGAGCAGCUUACAAAACUCUAAUAAUUUACGUGGAGAACAAACAGAUUCUGGAAUGCAAGAGACUCUUGUUCGAGAUAAUUUACAGCUGCAGCAGACAGACAGUCCCAAAAUAAGCAAAAACAAAAAGAGGAAAAUGAAAAAGAAGCGACAGAAAGAAAAAAUGAGAGCAGCUGGCUUGGUAACAAAAACUACCGGUGUGGAUUUUACUUAUCAGCCAGACAAAAACAACAGAGAAGAAGCAGCAGGCUUAAAAGACAUGGUUGAAAAGACAGAUAGUAUUCUGGACUUCCUGCAGGCAACACAACAAAUUUAUUUUGCUGACAAUAAAUCAAGAUGCACAGAUUCUGCUGUAAAUGCAGCAGCUGCCCAAGAGCUUUUGCAGUAUCUUGAAUCUCGCACCAUCUCUUCCUCAGAUGUGACACUUCUACAUCGGUUGAAAUCCCUUGUAUUGCUACAGGAUAUUGAGAGAUUGAAGGAUGCUUUGAAACAGUUCCAAGAACAAUCCAUGAUGCCUCCUGAUCAUACCGUGAUAAUCACGUCUCUGUUUCACUACUGGAUUACAGAUAUCCUUCCUGUGAAGAACAGGAAAUAAACCCUUGCCUGUGUCCAUAUGCACUGGGUUAAAAUUUAAUAUACAAACUCUUAACCAAGUAGCAAUUGUUCAGGAAGAGCAAUGUCAAUGCACAUUCUACACCUUCAGUGCUUGGACAUUUCAUAUAAUAUUGAAGUGAAUUUUAAAAUUAUUCUGAAUUUUACAUAGCUGUAUACAGAAGAGCAGAUUUGGGUAUCCUUGACAAAUGGAAAUAUUUUGUACUAUCAGUAGUCUAAUCUCAGGCUGUAAGUAAAAUUUCUCACGUCAAUAUACUUUGCUUGAAUUGGCUAAUAAUGGGGAAAAGAUUGCUUUCAGACUCUCUUCUUUCCAUUCACUUAAUCCACUGUAAGAGCCUUAUAUUCUGUGUGUAGAAAUCAGCUGGUCAUAACAAAGAAAGCCUGGGAACAGUUUCAGAACGUAACUAGAGUCAGUGAUAUCUGAUGUCUUUGUAAAUGACCUGCGAUAGAAGCUGAAUCUUACACUUAUCAAACCUGCCACUAUUACACUAAGAGGGAUUAUAAAGAGCAGAGGAUAAAGUAAAAUCUGAGAUGUUGGGGAGUUUAGAAAAUUGGACCAAAUUCAAGCAUAUAAAUUGUAGAUUGUCAUUGUAGAUAAAUGCAGUUGCAUAAGAGUGCAUUUGUUUCUGAAACAAAUGUACCAAACAGCGGUGUGCUGAACUGCAAUGUGCGUAUAAGGACACUUAGGCAAGACACAAAAGAACACAGCAGAAAGAUGUAGUUUAAAAGCAAAAGAAAUGGACAUUACUCGUCCUAUAAUAAUAAUAUCAAUUAGGCAGUGUACUAAAAAUGGCAAGAGGGGAGGAUUGUUUGGUUUGGUGUUUAACAUCCUAUUUAAAGUCAAAAAGAUUUCAAACACCAGAGUUUUAAUGCCAGGCCACUUUUCUGUGCUUCCUCUCUCAAAGAAAUGGUGCUGAAUCUCCCUACACGUUUUAUGAUUUAUUUGAGAAGUGAUGUAACCAUAAUGGCUGGGAUAUGAAAACUGAAAAAUUUAAAUUAAUAUCCAUCAGUGAACACAGUGUGUUUUCCAUUUCACUAUACAUGGCUUCUUCAGCACAGCAAUUAAACAUUUAUCACUUUGGAUUUUCAUGCUAAACUUCUAAAUGGCAAAGGAGAUGGCUUUACGGUUUUCCUUCUUCCGCAUUAUCCAGUCUAAUGAAUGUGCAGUGUCAUGUGGAAUUUCUGAGGCAUGGGAGAGGGGUUUUUAGUGGACUUUGCAUCAGAGAACUUCAGACUAAACUGUAUCAUGUACAUGCUGUUACCAGCAUAUUUCAAACUUCUGGGAAGAUAGAAUUUUAAAAUCUUGGCUUUAAAACAUACAUGGGCUCUAACAGUAGGAAGAAUGUAAGGAUCAGCUAGAAAGAAGCCUGCAUGUGGCUUCAAGAGUUCACUUUCUGGUUUGCAUAAUUAAGCAUUACACAGUAAGGAAGGAAUAGCAGCACAGUGGGAAAGAAAUCAGGGUCUGAGGAGGUGAUGGUUCCUUUACCUGGGGUGCAUACACAAAGACAACCACAGAUGCUGAAGUUGUUUUGGGCAUCUGUAGUCAUGAAAUGCUUGUAUAUAAGGGUGUGAGUUCAAAGCCAUCUCUGUAAAUAGGUACAUGGUAAGAAAGACCUUAAUUCUUCCCUUUUGUGGAUAUGUAAUGUGGGAAUCAGUCCCUAAUGUUUAAAGAUUUUUACUUCUUUGUAGGUGGUGCAAUAUUUCAUAUAGUAUUUUAACUAUCAUGUAGAGUUAUAAAUUCCUUAAUGUGCUUUCUAUGACAGCUGUUUUUUCUCCCCUGCGCCAGUGCAAGGGGCUGCUAUUCAGUAGACUGAAACUCUAAAAUGGCAUCUGGAAAAAAAAAAAAAAAAAGACUUAAAAGACAAGGAAGUAAAAAAUUGGUGAGUGGCAGCAUGAAGGCAGGAAAUGGUUAAGCUGUCUUUGAUCAGAGAAAACAUAUUUCACCCAGUACCAUCUGCUAUAUCAUAAAAGCAGUCCGCAGACAUAGAGUGGAAAGUGAUGUGUGUUAUGCUGGUACAGUAUGCUACAGGCUAAGUAUAAUAACAAAAAGUGGUAAUGAAAAAAACCCAGCAAAAUGUAACACUGGAAAAAUACAUUCUAUUGAAUAUUUAGGCCAACCUCAGGUUAUAGCUAGGUAGAUUUUGUGAUGAAUUGCUUCAUCCCUAGAUUGCACCUAUGGAGAGCUGCAUUGCACAUGUUUGUGCAGUUAAUUUAGCUUCACUGGUAACUACUUUAUCUUCUGCAUUGCAUCUAAGUAAAUUUUGUUGAAUGGGCUAAUUAUAAAGUCUCAGUAUUUCACAAUUUCAAUACACGUUUUUCUUAGAUGAAAAAAAUUGUAUUUUUAAACUGGUAGAUAUAUACUGAACUAAACCUUGGGGGGAAAACACUAUAUAUAUAAAGUAUAAAAUAUAAAGGAAAAGCAGAAAAUUACAAAUGCUUAUAUCAUUCCUAUCUCUUAACAAUCUAGGAAAAAACUUUAUAUUCUGUGGUCAUUUGAAAACAAUGUAUAUGCACCAGAGUCAGUCAAGGUCAUUCUUCAAGUACAUGCUUAACUUUGUAGAAUUACUAGUUUGUAGUCAUUUUAAUGAGCUGUAUACAUUUGCAAAAUAAAUAAGAAAGCUGUAGCUCUCUUCUACAUUACUACUGCAAUGCUACAUCCUGGUUUAGAAUACAGAAUAAAUAAAUA